rnacentral:rRNA from 1 species
AUUGAACGCUGGCGGCAGGCCUAACACAUGCAAGUCGAGCGGAUGAGGGGAGCUUGCUCCCUGAUUUAGCGGCGGACGGGUGAGUAAUGUAUAGGGAGCUGCCCGAUAGAGGGGGAUACCAGUUGGAAACGACUGUUAAUACCGCAUAAUGUCUACGGACCAAAGUGUGGGACCUUCGGGCCACAUGCUAUCGGAUGCACCUAUAUGGGAUUAGCUAGUUGGUGGGGUAACGGCUAACCAAGGCGACGAUCCCUAGCUGGUUUGAGAGGAUGAUCAGCCACACUGGAACUGAGACACGGUCCAGACUCCUACGGGAGGCAGCAGUGGGGAAUAUUGGACAAUGGGCGCAAGCCUGAUCCAGCCAUGCCGCGUGUGUGAAGAAGGCCUUCGGGUUGUAAAGCACUUUCAGCGAGGAGGAAGGGAUGUAUGUUAAUAGCAUGCAUUUUUGACGUUACUCGCAGAAGAAGCACCGGCUAACUCUGUGCCAGCCGCCGCGGUAAUAC